rnacentral:rRNA from 1 species
AAUUUCUCCUCCACUGUAAUCCUAAGAUCAACUGCAUGUGCCCUUGACAUCGCCAUCACCAACAUCUACGCCCCCUCUACCCAUGCCCUCAAACAGGCCUUCCUCGAUGAGCUUCUCUCCAUGACACAACCAGACGAUGCUCCUUGGCUCGUUAUUGGCGACUUUAAUCUCCUAUGCUUCCCCUCAGACAAAAACAACUCCACCUUUCGACGAUCAGAAGCUAACGCUUUCAACAACGUUAUCGACACCCUAGCCCUCAUUGAUCUGCCACUCCUCGACCGACAAUUUACGUGGUCUAACAACCGAUCCUCGCCCACUUUGGAAAGAAUCGAUCGUGCAUUUUUUAAUCUCGCUUGGGCUGAUGCUUUCCCUAACACCUCUUUGUCCUCUCUAACACGUUUCACCUCUGACCAUGUUCCGCUGCUCGUACACGUCACCACUACGAUUCCACGCUCUAACUUUUCAAAUUCGAGCCUGGUUGGUCCAAAUUUCGCCCAUGCAACGCCAUCGUCACAAGGUGCUGCUCACCCUCGCCUUCCCCUUUAA